rnacentral:rRNA from 1 species
UACGUAGGGAGCGAGCGUUGUCCGAAGUUACUGGGCGUAAAGCGCGCGUAGGCGGGCUGUUAAGUGAGAGGUGAAAGGCUGGGGCUUAACCCCAUGCAGUGCCUCUCAUACUGGCGGUCUUGAAUUCGGCAGGGAGAAGUGGAAUGGCUGGUGUAGCGGUGAAAUGCGUAGAUAUCUGGAGGAACACCGGUGGCGAAGGCGGCAUCCUGGACCGACACUGACGCUGAGGAGCGAAAGCCAGGGGAGCAAACGGG